rnacentral:rRNA from 1 species
UACCAGCACCCCGAGUGGUCGGGACGUUUAUUGGGCCUAAAGCAUCCGUAGCCGGUUCUACAAGUCUUCCGUUAAAUCCAACUGCUUAACAGGUGGGCUGCGGAAGAUACUAUAGAGCUAGGAGGCGGGAGAGGCAAACGGUACUCGAUGGGUAGGGGUAAAAUCCGUUGAUCCAUUGAAGACCACCAGUGGCGAAGGCGGCUUGCCAGAACGCGCUCGACGGUGAGGGAUGAAAGCUGGGGGAGCAAACCGG